CAACCCUCAAGCAAUGCUUGGUAUUGGGCUUCGCUGCUCACGUAGCGGGCCUUAAAAUCAGUGGCGGUGCCGUUGGGGCCUGAGCGCAGUAAAUAUCCUCGCUACAGGGACUCGGCGGACGCUGGCCAUCAACCCCCCACUCUCUUA
rnacentral:misc_RNA from 1 species